UGAGGAAUAUUGGUCAAUGGGCGAGAGCCUGAACCAGCCAAGUAGCGUGAAGGAUGACUGCCCUAUGGGUUGUAAACUUCUUUUAUAAAGGAAUAAAGUCGGGUAUGGAUACCCGUUUGCAUGUACUUUAUGAAUAAGGAUCGGCUAACUCCGUGCCAGCAGCCGCGGUAAUACGGAGGAUCCGAGCGUUAUCCGGAUUUAUUGGGUUUAAAGGGAGCGUAGAUGGAUGUUUAAGUCAGUUGUGAAAGUUUGCGGCUCAACCGUAAAAUUGCAGUUGAUACUGGAUAUCUUGAGUGCAGUUGA
rnacentral:rRNA from 1 species